GUGUUGGCAGAUUUGGUUUCUCCUGGGGCCUCUCUCUUUGGCUUGCAGAUGGCCACCCUCUUGCUGCCCCUUCACAUGGUUGUCCCUGUGCACACACUCCGAGUGCCUCCCCCUCUUCUUAGAAGGACAGCAAUCCUAUAGGAUUAAGGCCUCACCCUACAGGCCUCUUUUUAACUCAGUCACCUCUUCAGAGACCACAUCUCCAAAUACAGUUACGUUCUGGAGAUCUAGGGGUUGGGACUUCAACAUAAAAAUUUGGGGGGAGACACACUUCAUCUCAUAACACUCCAGAAUCCAGGAAUCUGACAGCUUGCCCUCUCACAUCCCUGUCCUCACUGACCACCUCCAGAUAAGCUUAUCCUCCUAGGAUCAGGCUUAGAAUCCCGUAACUUCUUUCUGAUCCCAGGGCCCAUGGUGUCUCUGAAGCUAUUGCGUAGUUACUCCAGCUUACUUUUCUACUGCUGCCAAAGUAACUAGGGGCCAGGAAGAGAGUUCUAUGUAGAAUUCUGAGUGACUUGCUCAUUCUAUUUGAUUAUCUGUGUGUGUGUAUGUGCACUCUUCUUGAUUUGAAAACAAACCUCCAGUCCUCUGUUUGAAUUUAAGCAGCAAUAAACCAAUGACAAUAAUUCCACUCACAUUUGUCUAGAACUCUCCAUUAAGAGGAGGACUGUGGAAGAAAGUCCAACAAAAGGGACUGAAAAGGGACAAUCAGACUGAAGGUGGAAACCAGAAGUGCUGCCAGGCAAGAAGAGAGGUAUUUUACUCUCCUCUGCACUAAAGGAUAUCCUUGUAGAAAUUAAUCACGUCCAAGCUGCUCCAGCUGCAACAGGACCACAGCCACUUCUGUCCACUUCUCCUGUAUAGGGUACUCAUCAAGAGGAAUAAGAUCAUAUGCAUAGAAACACUCUUCAGAAGAGGAGAACGUGUGCAUACCUUAUAUCACAAAUAGUGAGAAUUGGAUUAAAAAAUUCUGCCAAGAAACCUUUGUCAAAGGCCAGGAAAGUAUAAUUCCUCUGUAAUGAUACCAGUCCUUUGUACUACCAAGGCUUUGGAAAUAUGAAGAUGUUUCUAAGCAACAGGAGGAAAGAAAGUACGACUGACUAUUACCAAGGAGUUUCAAUCCUUGACACAAUCAUCUAUGGCAAGGAGAAAGGAUGAGUGGAACAAGGAGAACUCUGUGAGUGGGGAACCUUCCACAGUAGGUGACUAUUGCAUCUACCAUUGUUCACUGCUCUAAGAGUGAUGGAAGAGACAUCUAAGAUGUACUGGAAUAUGAUGAACUAGGUCAGCCAAAUAUAGUUGUCUUGAUGACAGUGCUUUUGAAAAAUAGAAACAAAGCAAGUUUCUCUGCUGUAGACUAUAUCAUAGAAUGCAAUAAAGAGAUGAGUGCUCCU